AAAAGUGUAGUGAAGUUUUAAAUAUAAAUCAGACACAUCCCUAGUAUUUGCUUUUAACUGCACACCUUCUAAGAAAUUAUAUUUUUACUCCCAGCAAAUUACCUAGGAGAAAAAAAUGACAAGAGUAAUCUAUUUUUUUCACAGCUGGUUGGUUGGCCAGAGUUUCUCAUCAAGGAGUACAUGCUGUUUGCUCCCCAGAUGGACAGCCUGGAUGAGCUACAAAUCCACAGAGCCUGGGACACAAGGUGAAAAACCAGUAUGCUGGCAUGGAGAUAUGACCUUCAUAUAGAGUCAAACAUAAGAAAGUAGAUGUCGGUACAUUAGGUAUGAAGCUCUGCCCAUAACUGAGUAAAUCCAUCAGGAGCUCCUCAGUCAUCAGAAGAUUUGUAACUCACUGCCAGUGGUGUUGCUGCUGUGAUCUGGACUUCAGAGCUGGAGGAAGGGCAUCUGGAGCAAACAGUCCAGUCAAGGUUUGGAGAUGUGU
rnacentral:lncRNA from 1 species